rnacentral:rRNA from 1 species
GACGAACGCUGGCGGCGUGCCUAAUACAUGCAAGUAGAACGCACAGUUUAUACCGUAGCUUGCUACACCAUAGACUGUGAGUUGCGAACGGGUGAGUAACGCGUAGGUAACCUGCCUGGUAGCGGGGGAUAACUAUUGGAAACGAUAGCUAAUACCGCAUAAUAUUGAUUAUUGCAUGAUAAUUGAUUGAAAGAUGCUAUUGCAUCACUACCAGAUGGACCUGUGUUGUAUUAGCUAGUAGGUGAGGUAACGGCUCACCUAGGCGACGAUACAUAGCCGACCUGGGAGGGUGAUCGGCCACACUGGGACUGAGACACGGCCCAGGCUUCUACGGGAGGCAGCAGUAGGGAAUCUUCGGCAAUGGACGAAAGUCUGACCGAGCAACGCCGCGUGAGUGAAGAAGGGUUUCGGAUCGGAAAGCUCGGUUGUAAGAGAAGAACGGGUGUGAGAGUGGAAAGUUCACACUGUGACGGUAUCUUACCAGAAAGGGACGGCUAACUACGUG